CUAAGAAAGUUUGGUCAAAAUCCGUUGAGAAAUGUAGGAGGAGUUGCGCACAGAAGAAAUUGUUCACUAUAUAUUCUAUAUAAGGAAAAAAAACAAAGGGCCAUAAUUAGGUCAAAUAUAUACCAAUUGCAAAACCCUGACAAUAUGUGUCAGGGCACUUGAUGACAAAGCUUCUGAGAAAGUUUGGUCAAAAUAUGUUGAGAAAUGUAGGAGGAGUUGCGCACAGAAGAAAUUGUUCACUAUAUAUUCUAUAUAAAGAAAAAAAACAAAGGGCCAUAAUUAGGUCAAAUAUUAUCUAAUCGCAAAACCCCGACAAUAUGCGCCAGGGCACUUGAUGACAAAGCUUCUGUGAAAGUUUGGUCAAAAUCCGUUGAGAAAUGUAGGAGGAGUUGCGCACAGAAGAAAUUGUUUAC